rnacentral:rRNA from 1 species
UACGGAGGAUGCAAGCGUUAUCCGGAAUGAUUGGGCGUAAAGCGUCCGCAGGUGGCUAUGUAAGUCUGCUGUUAAAGAGUGAGGCUCAACCUCAUAAGAGCAGUGGAAACUACAUAGCUAGAGUGCGUUCGGGGCAGAGGGAAUUCCUGGUGUAGCGGUGAAAUGCGUAGAUAUCAGGAAGAACACCGGUGGCGAAAGCGCUCUGCUAGGCCGCAACUGACACUGAGGGACGAAAGCGUGGGGAGCAAACAGG